rnacentral:rRNA from 1 species
AUGAACGCUGGCGGCGUGCCUAAUACAUGCAAGUCGAGCGAACGGACGAGAAGCUUGCUUCUCUGAUGUUAGCGGCGGACGGGUGAGUAACACGUGGAUAACCUACCUAUAAGACUGGGAUAACUUCGGGAAACCGGAGCUAAUACCGGAUGAUAUUUUGAACCGCAUGGUUCAAAAGUGAAAGACGGUCUUGCUGUCACUUAUAGAUGGAUCCGCGCUGCAUUAGCUAGUUGGUAAGGUAACGGCUUACCAAGGCAACGAUGCAUAGCCGACCUGAGAGGGUGAUCGGCCACACUGGAACUGAGACACGGUCCAGACUCCUACGGGAGGCAACAGUAGGGAAUCUUCCGCAAUGGGCGAAAGCCUGACGGAGCAACGCCGCGUGAGUGAUGAAGGUCUUCGGAUCGUAAAACUCUGUUAUUAGGGAAGAACAUAUGUGUAAGUAACUGUGCACAUCUUGACGGUACCUAAUCAGAAAGCCACGGCUAACUACGUG